rnacentral:rRNA from 1 species
CCAAGGAGUCUAACAUGUGCGCGAGUCACUCGGUCUUGAUUAGGCCAGAGAGGCGCAAUGAAAGUAAAGUUUGUUAAGUUACGAUCCCUAUGCGGUCAUUCCUUGUGGGUGACGGUAGGGCGCAGUAACAGCCCGCCAAUUUCGCCUAUUGACGAUCUGGCGGAGUUGUAGCGUACACGUUGGUACCCGAAAGAUGGUGAACUAUGCCUGGGCAAGACGAAGCCAGAGGAAACUCUGGUGGAGGUCUGUAGCGAUUCUGACGUGCAAAUCGAUCGUCAGACCUGGGUAUAGGGGCGAAAGACUAAUCGAACCAUC